CCUACGGGUGGCAGCAGUGGGGAAUAUUGCACCAUGGGGGAAACCCUGAUGCAGCAACGCCGCGUGAAGGAAGACGGUUUUCGGAUUGUCAACUUCUGUUCUUAGUGCAGAAUAAUGACGGUAGCUAAGGAGCAAGCCACGGCUAACUACGUGCCAGCAGCCGCGGGAAUACGUAGGUGGCAAGCGUUGUCCGGCAUUACUGGGUGUAAAGGGAGCGCAGGCGGGAAGUCAAGUCAGCUGUGAAAACUACGGGCUUAACUUGUAGACUGCAGUUGAAACUGGUGUUCUUGAGGGAAGUAGAGGUAAGGGGAAUUCCGAGUGUAGCGGGGAAAUGCGUAGAUAUUCGGAGGAACACCAGUGGCGAAGGCGGCCAACUGGGCUUUAACUGACGCUGAGGCUCGAAAGUGUGGGGAGCAAACAGGAUUAGAUACCCUAGUAGUC
rnacentral:rRNA from 1 species